GGCUGUUGGCCCCAGCCUAACCAACAGAGUGGGUCUUUCUGUCUCACCUGUCCCUCUGAUGCAGCCAGGUGGGACUGCCCGCUGAUAGAGACAGUCUGGGAGGAGCGAAAUGACAGUUGGUCCUAGCCUAGUCAAUUGAGUAGAUCUUGGAUGCUGGUUGCCAACCGUCCUCUAGCUAACUGAGUGGGCCUCAGGUGUAGCCAGUUGGAAUGGCCGCUGAUGCAAGCAGUUCCAGGGGGGAGGAGCCAAAUGGCAUUUGGUCCCAACCAGGCUGUAGGAGGGGAGCUUUCCGUAUCUCUUCUCCCUGGAAUGCAGCCAGAUUUUGAGACAGACUGCCCUGGCAUCACAUGAUGCAAUCAAUGAUCAACUUGGGGAAUAUGUGAAGAAAUAUAAAAGUACCUCUGAGAACACACAGAGUGCCAGAUCCACACCCCUGAAUACAGCAAGAGUCAGGGGGAAGAACUUCCGGGUCAAAGGGCAUGGUUUCCCCAGCAGGCUUGUUGCUAAUCUCCAAAGUUCUAUCCAUGCCUAGAAGGACUGAUAAGGAGAGGACCCAAACCACUAAGCAUUUCCCCCACAUCGGGCAAUUUCUAUUUCUAUUGGCCUUGUGCAUUUCGCCCCCAAUGCCUUGAGCAUGCCAAUAGAAAAGUGCACUACAGUAUGUGUGUGUGUCAAUAAGCGUUCCAAAGAAAGCAACAGCAACCUUAUUCAAAUAGGUUGACCACAUUGGAGUGGAAUAGGAAUAGGAAUGAUAACAAUCAAGGUAAUAUGUAACCAUUUGUGCUUUUAGGCAUUAUUUGGCAUAACAUCUGACGAACAAUGGCUUUAAUUUUAUCUAUAGGCAUAGUGUAGUCUAGUUAUGUUGUAAAGUUAGGCAACACAUUUGUUUCUAAAUAAAUGUGCAAUAUUUUUGUUUCUUGUAA